rnacentral:rRNA from 1 species
UACGUAGGGGGCAAGCGUUGUCCGGAAUCAUUGGGCGUAAAGCGCGUGUAGGCGGCUCGGUAAGUCCGCUCUGAAAGUCCAGGGCUCAACCCUGGGAUGCGGGUGGAUACUGCCGGGCUCGAGUCCGGAAGAGGCGAGUGGAAUUCCCGGUGUAGCGGUGAAAUGCGCAGAUAUCGGGAGGAACACCAAUGGCGAAGGCAGCUCGCUGGGACGUGACUGACGCUGAGACGCGAAGCG